rnacentral:tRNA from 4 species
GCCGGUGUAGCUCAGAUGGUAGAGCAGCUGACUUGUAAUCAGCAGGUCGGGGGUUCGAUUCCCUUCGCCGGCUCCA